UACGGGGGGAGCAAGCGUUGUUCGGAUUUACUGGGCGUAAAGGGCGCGUAGGCGGUCAGCACAAGUCAGUUGUGAAAUAUCCGGGCUUAACUCGGAAAGGUCAACUGAUACUGUGCGACUAGAGUGCGGAAGGGGCAACUGGAAUUCUCGGUGUAGCGGUGAAAUGCGUAGAUAUCGAGAGGAACACCUGCGGCGAAGGCGGGUUGCUGGGCCGACACUGACGCUGAUGCGCGAAAGCCAGGGGAGCGAACGGG
rnacentral:rRNA from 1 species